UACGAAGGGGGCUAGCGUUGCUCGGAAUUACUGGGCGUAAAGGGCGCGUAGGCGGCCAUCUAAGUCAGACGUGAAAUCCCCCGGCUUAACCUGGGAACUGCGUCUGAUACUGGAAGGCUUGAGUAUGGGAGAGGGAUGUAGAAUUCCAGGUGUAGCGGUGAAAUGCGUAGAUAUCGUAAGGAAGACCAGUGGCGAAGGCGGGUCUCUGGACAGUUCCUGACGCUG
rnacentral:rRNA from 1 species